AGAGUUUGAUCCUGGCUCAGAUUGAACGCUGGCGGAAUGCUUUACACAUGCAAGUCGAACGGCAGCACGGAGAGCUUGCUCUCUGGUGGCGAGUGGCGAACGGGUGAGUAAUAUAUCGGAACGUGUCCAAUAAUGGGGGAUAACGAGUCGAAAGAUUCGCUAAUACCGCAUACGCCCUACGGGGGAAAGCAGGGGAUCGUAAGACCUUGCGUUAAUGGAGCGGCCGAUAUCUGAUUAGCUUGUUGGUGAGGUAAAGGCUCACCAAGGCGACGAUCAGUAGCUGGUUUGAGAGAACGACCAGCCACACUGGAACUGAGACACGGUCCAGACUCCUACGGGAGGCAGCAGUGGGGAAUUUUGGACAAUGGGGGCAACCCUGAUCCAGCCAUUCCGCGUGAGUGAAGAAGGCCUUCGGGUUGUAAAGCUCUUUCGCAAGGGAAGAAAACUUAUGAUCGAAUAAAUCAUGAGGUUGACGGUACCUUGAUAAGAAGCACCGGCUAACUACGUGCCAGCAGCCGCGGUAAUACGUAGGGUGCGAGCGUUAAUCGGAAUUACAGGGCGUAAAGCGUGCGCAGGCGGUUUUGUAAGUCGGAUGUGAAAUCCCCGGGCUCAACCUGGGAACUGCGUUCGAAACUGCAAGGCUAGAGUGUGUCA
rnacentral:rRNA from 1 species